GACGAACGCUGGCGGCGUGCUUAACACAUGCAAGUCGAACGGAAAGGCCCUGCUUUUGUGGGGUGCUCGAGUGGCGAACGGGUGAGUAACACGCGAGUAACCUGCCCUUGACUUUGGGAUAACUUCAGGAAACUGGGGCUAAUACCGGAUAGGAGCUCCUGCUGCAUGGUGGGGGUUGGAAAGUUUCGGCGGUUGGGGAUGGACUCGCGGCUUAUCAGCUUGUUGGUGGGGUAGUGGCUUACCAAGGCUUUGACGGGUAGCCGGCCUGAGAGGGUGACCGGCCACAUUGGGACUGAGAUACGGCCCAGACUCCUACGGGAGGCAGCAGUGGGGAAUAUUGCACAAUGGGCGGAAGCCUGAUGCAGCAACGCCGCGUGCGGGAUGAAGGCCUUCGGGUUGUAAACCGCUUUCGCCUGUGACGAAGCGUGAGUGACGGUAAUGGGUAAAGAAGCACCGGCUAACUACGUG
rnacentral:rRNA from 1 species